rnacentral:rRNA from 1 species
AUAAUGGGUCAGCGACUUAUAUUCUGUAGCAAGGUUAACCGAAUAGGGGAGCCGAAGGGAAACCGAGUCUUAACUGGGCGUUAAGUUGCAGGGUAUAGACCCGAAACCCGGUGAUCUAGCCAUGGGCAGGUUGAAGGUUGGGUAACACUAACUGGAGGACCGAACCGACUAAUGUUGAAAAAUUAGCGGAUGACUUGUGGCUGGGGGUGAAAGGCCAAUCAAACCGGGAGAUAGCUGGUUCUCCCCGAAAGCUAUUUAGGUAGCGCCUCGUGAAUUCAUCUCCGGGGGUAGAGCACUGUUUCGGCAAGGGGGUCAUCCCGACUUACCAACCCGAUGCAAACUGCGAAUACCGGAGAAUGUUAUCACGGGAGACACACGGCGGGUGCUAACGUCCGUCGUGAAGAGGGAAACAACCCAGACCGCCAGCUAAGGUCCCAAAGUCAUGGUUAAGUGGGAAACGAUGUGGGAAGGCCCAGACAGCCAGGAUGUUGGCUUAGAAGCAGCCAUCAUUUAAAGAAAGCGUAAUAGCUCACUGGUCGAGUCGGCCUGCGCGGAAGAUGUAACGGGGCUAAACCAUGCACCGAAGCUGCGGCAGCGACGCUGAUGCGUUGUUGGGUAGGGGAGCGUUCUGUAAGCCUG